rnacentral:rRNA from 1 species
CCUACGGGAGGCAGCAGUGAGGAAUAUUGGUCAAUGGACGAGAGUCUGAACCAGCCAAGCAGCGUGAAGGAUGACUGUCCUAUGGGCUGUAAACUUUUUUUAUAUGGGAAUAAAACAGGGUAUGUAUACCUUCUCGUAUGUACGAUACGAAUAAGGAUCGGCUAACUCCGUUCCAGCAGCCGCGGUAAUACGGAGGAUCCGAGCGUUAUCCGGAUUUAUUGGGUUUAAAGUGAGCGUAGGUGGUUUGUUAAGUCAGUUGUGAAAGUUUGCGGCUCAACCGUAGAAUUGCAGUUGAUACUGGCAGUCUUGAGUGCAGAAGAGGUGGGCGGAAUUCGAGGUGUAGCGGUGAAAUGCUUAGAUAUAUCGAGGAACUCCGAUUGCGAAGGCAGCUCACUGGUCUGCAACUGACGCUGAUGCGCGAAAGUGUGGGUAUCAAACAGGAUUAGAUACCCUAGUAGUC